AUCGCUUCUCGGCCUUUUGGCUAAGAUCAAGUGUAGUAUCUGAAACACCAAUCAGAAAGAAUAUGCACCCCCAUGUUCAUGGCAGCAUUAUUUACAAUAGUUAAGAUUUUGAGAUAGCCCAAGUGCCUAUCAGUAGAUGAGUGAAUAAAAAAGCUGUGGUACAUUUACACAAUGGAAUACUAUUCAGCUGUAAAAGA
rfam:Myotis davidii contig1732, whole genome shotgun sequence.